GCUAAGAAUCUUCCGCAAUGGGCGAAAGCCUGACGGAGCGACGCCGCGUGGAUGAUGAAGGCGCUUUGCGUUGUAAAAUCCUUUUCUAUGGGACGAAUGCCUGGCUAUAGGCUGGGUUGACGGUACCAUAGGAAUAAGCCCCGGCUAAUUACGUGCCAGCAGCCGCGGUAAUACGUAAGGGGCGAGCGUUGUUCGGAAUUACUGGGCGUAAAGGGCCUGUAGGCGGACUGCUAAGUCAGAUGUGAAAGGUUACAGCUUAACUGUAAAAUUGCGUUUGAAACUGGUGGUCUAGAGUGUCGGAGAGGGUACUGGAAUUCCAGGUGUAGGGGUGAAAUCUAUAGAUAUCUGGAAGAACACCGGUGGCGAAGGCGGGUACCUGGCCGGACACUGACGCUGAGGGGCGAAAGCAUGGGUAGCAAACAGGAUUAGAAACCCUAGUAGUCC
rnacentral:rRNA from 1 species